CCAAGAGAAUUUAACAGUAUUUUAGUUUUCUAAACUUUUUUUUAAUGUUAACUUGCAGGCGGAUACAAGUACACAGAUGGCAGAUAACAGUAAAACAGAAGAUGCUGCCUCAGAUUCUGUGGAAGCUGCUAAAAAUACAAGUGACAAAAAAAGAAAAGCUAGCAGAUCAAGUGAUGCAAAAUCCACAAGUCCUGGCAGCUCUCCAAGAGCGACUUGAUAACACAUCUCACACUCCUUCAAGCUAUAUUGAAACUUUACCAAAAGCAGUGAAAAGAAGAAUUGAUGCCUUGAAACAGCUCCAGGUGCAAUGUGCCCAUAUAGAAGCUAAAUUCUAUGAAGAAGUUCAUGAUUUAGAGAGAAAAUAUGCAGCCCUGUAUGAGCCUCUCUUUGACAAGAGAAGGGAAUUUAUCACUGGUGAAGCUGAACCUACAGAUGCAGAGUCGGAAUGGCACAGUGAAAAUGAGGAAGAAGAAAAACUAGCUGGAGACCUGAAAAAUAAAGUAGUAAUAGAAGAGAGAGAAGCAGCAGCAACAGAAGAGGCAAACCCCAAAGGAAUUCCAGACUUCUGGUAUACAAUCUUUAGAAAUGUAGAUAUGCUAAGCGAAUUAGUACAGGAGUAUGAUGAACCAAUCUUAAAACAUCUGCAGGAUAUUAAAGUUAAAUUUUCUGAACCAGGACAGCCUAUGUCUUUUUCAUUAGAGUUCCACUUCGGGCCCAAUGACUACUUUACUAAUUCAGUCCUGACAAAAACCUACAAGAUGAAGUCAGAACCAGACAAGACGGAUCCUUUUUCAUUUGAAGGCCCUGAAAUAGUUGAUUGUGAGGGGUGCAGUAUUGACUGGAAGAAAGGAAAAAAUGUUACAGUUAAAACAAUCAAGAAGAAGCAGAAACACAAGGGUCGGGGCACAGUUCGAACAAUUACUAAACAAGUCCCAAAUGAUUCGUUCUUUAACUUCUUCAACCCAAUAAAAGUAUCUGGGGAUGGCGAGUCACUGGAUGAAGAUUCAGAGUUUACUUUAGCAACAGACUUUGAAAUUGGACACUUCUUCCGUGAAAGGAUAGUUCCUCGUGCCGUGCUUUAUUUCACUGGGGAAGCUAUAGAGGAUGAUGAUAAUUUUGAAGAGGGAGAAGAAGGAGAAGAGGAGUCUCUUUUCUUCCUGUCAUAGGAAUUGGAAGGUGAAGAGGAGGGAGAGGAAGAGGAGGAUACAGAAAGUGAGCCUAAGGUGUAAUUUAAGUCUGUUUAUCAUUCAUACAUUUCUAGAAAGAUGCCAGCCAGCCUGCUGAAUGCAAACAACAGUAAUAAGGAAAUACCACUUCAGAGUGAUAUUUGAACAACUUGUAACAAAUAUUUGGAUACCUGGCCUGCAGUUCAGGAUAUUCCAUUGCUGCAGCACAAUCUUAUUAACAAUGCUUAAACUUAAUUUGUUUUAAAAUGCAUGAUUUUUCACUAACUCUUCUUUUUUGCUUAACUUGUACAGUGGCAACUUCAAUGCAUUUGGGAAAUAUGAGGUUUAAAUAAAGCACACUCUACAGC